UUGCUGUGUAAGUCCAUUGGGAAAUCGACCAGCUCAACUGGUCGGCGUCCGGUGGAAACUACACAGCUUGGGGCCGAGAGACUCAACGGGUACGUCCGGGGUAGGAGUGAAAUCCUGUAAUCCUGGACGGACCACCAAUGGGGAAACCACGUUGAGAGACCGGACCCGACAGUGAGGGACGAAAGCCAGGGUCUCGAACCGGAUUAGAUACCCGGGUAGUCCUGGCUGUAAACAAUGCUCGCUAGGUAUGUCACGCGCCAUGAGCACGUGAUGUGCCGUAGUGAAGACGAUAAGCGAGCCGCCUGGGAAGUACGUCCGCAAGGAUGAAACUUAAAGGAAUUGGCGGGGGAGCACCACAACCGGAGGAGCCUGCGGUUUAAUUAGACUCAACGCCGGACAUCUCACCAGCACCGACAGUAGCUGUGAAGGUCAGUUUGAUGGGCUUACUGGAGCUACUGAGAGGAGGUGCAUGGCCGCCGUCAGCUCGUACCGUGAGGCGUCCUGUUAAGUCAGGCAACGAGCGAGACCCGCACUCCUAGUUGCCAGCAAUACCCUUGUGGUAGUUGGGUACACUAGGAGGACUGCCGCUGCCAAAGCGGAGGAAGGAACGGGCAACGGUAGGUCAGUAUGCCCCGAAUGUGCUGGGCAACACGCGGGCUACAAUGGCCGGGACAGUGGGACGCCAAUCCGAGAGGAUGCGCUAAUCCCCUAAACCCGGUCGUAGUUCGGAUUGAGGGCUGAAACUCGCC
rnacentral:rRNA from 1 species